rnacentral:rRNA from 1 species
UACGGAGGGUGCAAGCGUUAUCCGGAUUCACUGGGUUUAAAGGGUGCGUAGGCGGGUAUAUAAGUCAGUUGUGAAAGCUCCGGGCUUAACUUGGAAACUGCCAUUGAUACUGUAUAUCUUGAAUAUCGUAGAGGUUAGCGGAAUGUUGCAUGUAGCGGUGAAAUGCUUAGAUAUGUUACAGAACACCAAUUGCGAAGGCAGCUAACUAUGCGAAAAUUGACGCUGAGGCACGAAAGCGUGGGGAGCAAACAGG